rnacentral:rRNA from 1 species
UAAAGUGGCGUACGGGUGAGUAACACGUGGAUCAUCUACCUCUUAGUGGGGAAUAACUCUGGGAAACCGGAGCUAAUACCGCAUAAGCCUGGAAAGGGAAAGCAGCAAUGCGCUGAGAGAGGAGUCCGCGGCCGAUUAGCUAGUUGGCAGGGUAAAAGCCUACCAAGGCAUUGAUCGGUAGCCGGCCUGAGAGGGCACACGGCCACACUGGCACUGAAACACGGGCCAG